GCGAGCUGGCACUGUAACGGGAUGGGAGCUGAAGCCUUCUGAAGAUUCCAUCCAACUCCUAUUCCGACACGUCCACGUCGUGCAUGGUGGUAACAUGGGUCCAAGUCCAGCCAUUUGGCCGGAUGAAGGCUCAUGCCUAAGAAGGAAGGG
rnacentral:ribozyme from 1 species